GAGAGAGGUAGCUUGCUACUGAUCUUAGCGGCGGACGGGUGAGUAAUGCUUAGGAAUCUGCCUAUUAGUGGGGGACAACAUUUCGAAAGGAAUGCUAAUACCGCAUACGUCCUACGGGAGAAAGCAGGGGAUCUUCGGACCUUGCGCUAAUAGAUGAGCCUAAGUCGGAUUAGCUAGUUGGUGGGGUAAAGGCCUACCAAGGCGACGAUCUGUAGCGGGUCUGAGAGGAUGAUCCGCCACACUGGGACUGAGACACGGCCCAGACUCCUACGGGAGGCAGCAGUGGGGAAUAUUGGACAAUGGGCGCAAGCCUGAUCCAGCCAUGCCGCGUGUGUGAAGAAGGCCUUAUGGUUGUAAAGCACUUUAAGCGAGGAGGAGGCUACUUUAGAUAAUACCUAGAGAUAGUGGACGUUACUCGCAGAAUAAGCACCGGCUAACUCUGUGCCAGCAGCCGCGGUAAUACAGAGGGUGCAAGCGUUAAUCGGAUUUACUGGGCGUAAAGCGCGCGUAGGCGGCUAAUUAAGUCAAAUGUGAAAUCCCCGAGCUUAACUUGGGAAUUGCAUUCGAUACUGGUUAGCUAGAGUGUGGGAGAGGAUGGUAGAAUUCCAGGUGUAGCGGUGAAAUGCGUAGAGAUCUGGAGGAAUACCGAUGGCGAAGGCAGCCAUCUGGCCUAACACUGACGCUGAGGUGCGAAAGCAUGGGGAGCAAACAGGAUUAGAUACCCUGGUAGUCCAUGCCGUAAACGAUGUCUACUAGCCGUUGGGGCCUUUGAGGCUUUAGUGGCGCAGCUAACGCGAUAAGUAGACCGCCUGGGGAGUACGGUCGCAAGACUAAAACUCAAAUGAAUUGACGGGGGCCCGCACAAGCGGUGGAGCAUGUGGUUUAAUUCGAUGCAACGCGAAGAACCUUACCUGGCCUUGACAUAGUAAGAACUUUCCAGAGAUGGAUUGGUGCCUUCGGGAACUUACAUACAGGUGCUGCAUGGCUGUCGUCAGCUCGUGUCGUGAGAUGUU
rnacentral:rRNA from 1 species